CUCUUCGGUAUGAACGUUUUCUUGCAUCAUCAUCAUCUCUCAUUUGAAAAUUUCACUAACAAGAUUUGAUUCUCUCGUGUAGAAUCAAGAGCGAUUACUCAGUACAUAGCUCACCGAUAUGAAGAGGAAGGAACCAACCUUCUCCCAGCCGACUCCAAGAACAUAUCCCACUACGCAAUCAUGGCCAUUGGAAUGGAAGUAGAAGCUCACCACUUCGACCCAGUGGCUUCAAAGCUUGCUUGGGAACAAGUGUUCAAGCUCUUCUAUGGCAUGACCACAGACCAAGCCGUUGUUGAAGAAGAAGAGGCCAAGUUAGCCACGGUUCUUGAUGUGUACGAGGCUAGGCUCAAGGAGUUCAAGUAUUUGGCUGGUGAAACUUUUACUUUGACCGAUCUUCACCACAUUCCAGUGAUUCAGUACUUGCUUGGAACUCCCACCAAAAAGCUCUUCGAUGAGCGUCCACAUGUCAGCGAGUGGGUGGCAGAGAUCACCAACAGGCCAGCUUCCCAGAAGAUCCUUCAGUGAGACAAAAGGAAAAGAAAAUGAUUCUGCUUCAGUCACAGUAAUAAUAUGCUCAAACUAAAUAAGUGGCUGCCUCAUUGCCCAAUUUCUCAGUGCUCUGUUUUGUCUUUCUGUAUGUCCUCUGUUUUUUAUUUUCAGUUUAAUAUUGUAUGUGUUUGUGUUCUUGAGAGAUCAUUGUUGAAUCAAAAGUUAUUUUCCUAAUCUUCAAACUCUUCUAUAAUAAAACAGGUUAGUUAGUUAUUUAAUACUACAGAAGAUUGCAAUGUCUUAACUAAGGAGUUACUUAUUAGUGAGAGAAUAGUAUGCAAAGACUUUUAGUGCUUACUUUGUAGGCAUAAGACUUUGGACAUUCUCAUCCUUAUAAAGUCUCCUUGCUUUGUCGGAUCUGAAAAUGACAGACAAGUAAGAGAUGGUCUUAGCUAAAAGUCUGACAAAGCAAACGAGGAGGAGGAGGGGAUGAUGAGUAUUUGCAUGAAGAGCCUCAAGAUCUCCCUCCUCGAAAUCCUUUAAAGCAGCCUCUUAAACGACCUAGAAACUCAGAUCCUUUCCAAGAAGCCAUGUUAGCGGUUGCUUCAAGCAUUCGUCGCCUAGCUGAUGCAGUGGAAGGAAGCAAAAGUUUGAUCAACACAGAGGAACUGCUUGAAGCAGUGAUGGAGAUUGAUGGAUUGGAAGAAGCCAAGCAGAUGUAUGCGUUUGAGUAUCUGAAUGGUGAUCCGGUGAAAGCUAGAGCGUUCAUGGCUUAUGAUAGUAGGAUGAGGAAGUUGUUUUUGUUUCGACAGUUUUGGUGGUGGAAGUAAUAACACAAAAUGUGGAUUUGAAUUUUGUUUUAAGGUAAUUUAAAGUCUAGAGUUUUUGUAUUCGGUGAUUGUUGUCUAUGGUAAAAUGAUUUAUCCCAAGUGGUCACAUUGCAAAACCAAUGUUUCGGUCCCAACAAUUUUGUAGUCGGUAGAUGUUAGUCAUAGUAGAUAAAUUACUAUGAUUUGGUCUGGGCAAAAACCAAACACAAUUAAAAGAAGAAAUCGAAUCAAAAUUUUAUAAAUAGUUGAUUUGUUUUUUAUUGUCCGAAAUAUUCUAACUGAAUCAAAAUCAAUAGAUAGUUGAAUAUAUAAAAUAUAAUUUUCUAUUUAAAAUAUUAAUUAUAAUAAUUUAUAUGAUAUAACAUUUUAAAUAUAAUUACUAUUGAGAAUAUUUAUAAAUAUAUACAAAAAGAAUUUACUGAUGUUUAAUUUAUCUGAAUAUUUUUAUUUAAAAUAUUUAAAUUGGUUUUGGUUUAGCUCAAUUUACAACCGCAGUUUCGCUUGAUUUAGCUCAAUUUUAGUAUGGUUGGUCCGCUUGGUUUCUCUAAAAGAAAUCAACUUAAUCAAUUGAUUGGAGGAAAAUAACACAACGCAACGCAACGUGAGACGUUAUCACCCAUCAUCAUCAUCCAUCGAUCAUCACCAUCUAAAAACCAUGCAAAGCAGGAAUUUUUUUGAAGACUGACAAGGAAACAUGGUGAAGUCACUCUCCUUUGUUCAUCAACCCUAAACUCACUAUUCUCCUCCACUCUCUCUUCAUCCACUUCUUCCAAGAAUAACAAAAUUGCGUACUCAGCAAACAUCAAGAACCAGAUAAUAUCGUCUCUGUCAUGGAACAGACGAGAACUGUCUCUUGGGUUUAUGAUCAGCUUUCUUGCGUUUGGUCUCGUGGAGAGCUUCUGGAGAAAGUGAAGCAAGAUCGGAAAAAGAGGAUUGAGCGACGAGCUGUUCUUAACUCUGCUGUCAAUGAAAAGGGUAUUUCUGAAAACAAUCAGUCUUUCAUCUUUGUGUUGCUGGGUUUUUUUCUAUGUGUUCGAGAAUUUGCAAAGUUUGGGAUGUGUACUUGUGUUUAGAAGAAAGUUACUCAGACUUUGAAGUUACAUGUAGCAGUAACCUGAAGAAUCAACAGUCUUUAUAGUUGAUGAAAAGUUUACUCUUAUAGGACAAAUGUGUUUCCUCAUUGUGUUAUGGUCUUCAUAGUUAGUUAAUUGGCUUUGUUCCAAUGCCAUUUACAUUAAAAAGUUACUCUGGUUUUGUAUCCUUCCAAUGCUACAUGACGUAAUCAGAAGAUAUUUAUGGACAAGUUUUACUCUUUUAGGGAUAUAUGGGUCUUCUCUUUCUGGUAUAUGGUCUACAUAUUGUUAUCUGUCUUGUUCUAGUGUUACUUACAUUGAACACUAAUCUGAUGAUGAUUGAUUAAGUAAUCAGAACAAAUAGAUGGAAAGGUUUUUGACCUUUUUGUUAUUUCUGUCAUUGUCUUGUUUGUAGGGUAUUUGCAGGAUCUUGUUUACAAGUUAAGCAAAGUAGGACAAGCCAUUGAGAACAAUGAUCUGGAAGCUGCAUGUUUGGUCUUAGGGAAAGGCAUUGAUACCGGAUGGGUCAAAACCGUUAAUUUGGCUUUCACAAAGCUCUUUUUCUUUCUCCUUUUUUUUUUUUAACUCACAAUGGUCAAAUGGAUUGAUUAUAUUUAUAUUCAACUGGUUCUCUCUCUGCAUAAGGUAGAUUUUCUUUUUACGGUUUAGUCAAGCUCGUUCUUUGUGUUGUAACGACAGCUGAGUGCAAGCCCGGAAGAAAAUACAGAGGUGGAAAGUGGAAACAUUUAAUUCAUCUUUAGCUUCUCUUAUUACAUCAGGUUCGUUGUUCUUCUUAACUUCUCUGUUCACAAGAAUCAAAUUUAUCCAUUUAAAAGUCAUAAGAAAUAUCUUAUUGAAACUUGGUUACGCAGUGAACAAGAACGAUAGAGAGUCAUCUAAGCUCGCGUUUGUGUCAUCGGCUAGUGCAUUUGAGAAAUGGACGAGCUUGACAGGUCUUUUGGGACACCUUAAAGGAAUAUGAUAGGCUACCUUACAAAAUUGUCUUUAUUUUUCUACGGAUGGUCAACAAAAGAAGAGUCGAAACAAACAAAAAAAUAAUCCUUUGAAAAUGCCAUCUUAACAGCUUUGCUUAUCAUUAUUUAUUACAUUUGUUCAUACUCACCUUGCAUUGGCUAAUUUUUAAAAAAGUUUCAGUCACGAGUUUGAAUGGUAAUAACUCAACAUUAAAAGGAACCUUUCAACCAGAAUUCCACAUAAAUAAACUUUAAAUUAAAAAAAAACCUUUGAACCGGGAAGAAGUCAUGCCCGAUAUGCUAACCAAGAGUGUGUCAAUCAAGUAAAGUUGUAAACCAAAACCCGGGUAAAACAUGUACAACCAAAUUUCACAUCAAUAGAAACCCAUUUAACCGAGAAAUCAUGCCGGUUAAAAGCAUCCCGAAACAAUACUGAACCGGUAAUAGCCAAGGUGUAUGUCACGUUACUAGGUGGAGCUUGACUAUUAGGUGGAAGUUUGAGACAUUUGGGCGUUAGUACACACUUGUUUGAUCUUUUCUUUGAUGACAUUCAUUGAAUGCUUUAUUAUUUAAAAACGAUAUCUCAUAACCAAAUUGUAAAAAACAAAUAAUCAAGCGUUAAACAAUCUCAUUCCAGUUUGACUAAUCCUCCAAAGAAGACUAGUCAAUAUUGGUUUGCGACGGUCUUGUAGAUGCAUUAUUGAUCAGCUAAAACAAUAUUAAACAUUAAUGAGAAUCCAUUAAAAUGCUCUGUUUUCUACUUGUAUAAAUAUACCAUCAUUACUUGUCUCUUGUUUCAUCACCUUCACAUUCAACAUUAAACACAUCACAUUUCAAAGAGUUUCUUUUGUAAUCAAAAUCAAUGGCAGGUAUCAAAGUUUUCGGACACGCUGCUUCCACUGCCACCAGGAGAGUCCUCCUCACCCUCCACGAGAAGAACCUCGACUUUGAGCUCGUUCAUGUCGAGCUCAAAGACGGCGAGCACAAGAAAGAGCCCUUCCUCUCCCGCAACGUAAGUAUUUAUAUGUAACCAUGAGUUUUGAGACAAGACCAACCACUUUUGACAAAUCUUGGUCUGAAUCUUUAAUGUUUUGUUUUUGAUUGACGUUACAGCCUUUUGGUAAAGUUCCCGCCUUUGAAGAUGGAGACCUCAAGCUCUUCGGUAUGAACGUUUUCUUGAAUCGUCAUCCCUGAUUUGAAAAUUUCACUAACAAGAUUUGAUUCUUUCGUGUAGAAUCAAGAGCGAUUACUCAGUACAUAGCUCACCGAUAUGAAGAGGAAGGAACCAACCUUCUCCCAGCCGACUCCAAGAACAUAUCCCACUACGCAAUCAUGGCCAUUGGAAUGGAAGUAGAAGCUCACCACUUCGACCCAGUGGCUUCAAAGCUUGCUUGGGAACAAGUGUUCAAGCUCUUCUAUGGCAUGACCACUGACCAAGCCGUUGUUGAAGAAGAAGAGGCUAAGUUAGCCACGGUCCUUGAUGUGUAUGAGGCUAGGCUCAAGGAGUUCAAGUAUUUGGCUGGUGAAACUUUUACUUUGACCGAUCUGCACCACAUUCCAGUGAUUCAGUACUUGCUCGGAACUCCCACCAAAAAGCUCUUCGACGAGCGUCCACAUGUCAGCGAGUGGGUGGCAGAGAUCACCAACAGGCCAGCUUCCCAGAAGAUCCUUCAGUGAGACAAAAGGAAAAGAAAAUGAUUCUGCUUCAGUCACAGUAAUAAUAUGCUCAAAGUAAAUAAGUGGCUGCCUCAUUGCCCAAUUUCUCAGUGCUCUGUUUUGUCUUUCUGUUAUGUCCUCUGUUUUUUAUUUUCAGUUUAAUAUGUAUGUGUUUGUGUUCUUGAGAGAUCUUUGUUGAAUCAAAAGUUAUUUUUCUAAUCUUCAAACUCUUCUAUAAUAAAACAGAUUAGUUAGUUAUUUAAGAUUACAAAAGAUCUUAACUAGGGAGUUACUUAUUAGUGAGAGAAUAGUAUGCAAAGACUUUUAGUGCUUACUUUGUAGGCAUAAGACUUUGGACAUUCUCAUCCUCUAAAAGUCUCCUUGCUUUGUCGGAUCUGAAAAUGACAGACAAGUAAGAGAUGGUCUUUACCUAAAAGUCUGACAAAGCAAACACACAUUAGAUUUCUAAUGAACACAAGAAAAUUCAAAUAUAUAAAUUACAGAAACGAAUCCUAACGCUUAAGUUGGUCUGUACCUUGACCAACUUAAGCGUUAGGUGAAGCAACCCCCCCCCCCAAACUCGUCUUUAAGUCAUUCCUCACUUUCCUGACUUUAAAGGGGUACCCAACAAAUUUUGUGGGUAAAGCCAUAUAUACAUAUACUUGCAGCCUCAAAGUUGAAGGGCUUUGCAGUAUUCACAGAUUGAGCUCUGUUCUUUUAAUAAACGCUGCGUCCAACAUCAGCGGCUCCAAAAGCUUUGUAUUUCUGUUGUUUCUAAGAGCAAGAUUGCAGAGAAACCACUGAGCCGUGUUAAUUAUAAGAGAUGCAGCGCCGGAUUUCCGAUCAAUUGUGAUCGUUUAAAAUUCUAGCGGCAGUUAUAAUCACACCUGCGACUCUUUUCCCUGUUCCGGUGACAAUUUUUAAUCUCGUCAUCACUAUCUACGUCAUUUUAUUUCUUUCAUUCAAAGCAGGCGUAGUGAGUAUUUGGAACCGCCGACGCUGGACGCAGCGUUUACCAAAAGAACAUGGCUAUAUCCGUUUUUGUUAUCAGAGUUUGUCCGUGGAAGCAAAAGCUUCCCAAUCAAUGGAAGCUUUGCUCAAAACCCAACCAUUUCAAAAUCGGGGAUAGCCAUGUUGUAGGAGAUCUCAAUCCAGUGUAACUCUGAUACUUCCAUAUCAGGUUUCAACUUCUCCACAUACCAUUAACCCCUUGGAUAAAAUUAAAAAUCUUGUUUUGUUUCCGAUAGAAAUAAAAAUAAGGAAAAUUUCCCAAACCUGAACAGAAAAACAGCAUGGUUGUACUUUUGGUAUAAUACGAAUGUAGUUUUUACUUUUAUGAGGUAUUUAUGAGGUAUUCUAAAAUUUUAGGAAUUCGAAAUCUAGACACUACUCAAACGACUACAUGAGGUAGAAUCUGCAUAUGAGAAUUUUGUCUUGGUUCUACACAGUAUAGAAAGUGUCUUCUACGGAUAAGAAAACCUGAUUUUGGCAAAAAUUCUAAAAGUUUCGGUUAAGAAAAUAUUCUAAAAAUAUUUAUAAUAUUCUAACUUCUCUAAAACGUGUAUAGGUCAAUUUACCUAGUAAAAAAUAUCAAAUCUUUUUUUGUAAUAUUCCAACUUUCCUAAAACGUGUAUUCAUUUUUCCUUUUUAUCAAACAUUUUCUUUAAAAACAUUUUUUUUCCUUUUUAUUAUACGUUUUAAUUAAAAAAUAAAAUUUUUAAUUUAAACGUUUUUAAAAUUUUUGUAUAAAAUAAAAAUAAAACUUUGUAAAACGUUUUUAAUAAAAAUAAAACUAUGUAAAACGUUUUUAAUAAAAAAUUAAUAAAAAUAAACUUUGUAAACUUUAUAAAAAUAAAAAUCUAUAAAAAGUUUUUAAUCAAAAACGUUAAAUAAACUUUAUAAAAAUGUUUUAUAAAGUUUUAUUUUUAUAAAAAGUUUAAAACGUUUUAGUUUUAUUAAACUUUUUUUUUAUAAAAAAAAUUAAACUUUUAAAUUUUAACAUUUUUACAACGUUUUUUUCCUUUUUAUUAAAAAUUUUAAAUUUCAAUUAAACUUUUAAAUUGUGUUUAAUGUGUUUAAUUGAUUAAUCAAUGGUUUGUUUUGGGAUUAUAAAAAAGAUUAUAAUAAAAAGAUAACUUAAAGAUGAUAUUAUACCAAAGGACAACUUUGCUGUUUUUCUGUUCAGUUUUGGCAUUAAAAUAUAGCAAACUCAAAGCAAAGACAUGAAAACCAAGAAAAAACCCAUGGAAUUUUCUAGCAAUAGUCCAACACUUGUCCAUAAGAAAUUUAAAAAGCAAAAGAAGCUCAGAGAGAUCCUUACUCCUGUUAUUGUCACCAUUGUUGUCCCCAUAUCUACUUUGAUCUUGUUUCUCUGCUCUUGAAUAGAGACUUUUAUAUAAAAAUAGAUGUUGCAUAAAAAUAGGAAUAUGAAAUACAAUAAAAGAAAAAAACGAAACAAUUCGUUUACAAGAUAACAAUUGGUUCAAGAUCAACAGACAAAUCCCUGAGGAAGAGUCUUGCCACAAGAGUUGAGAUGCAAAGUGAGAGCAACAGGAAGUUUAACCGGGGCGACUCCGAGUAGGCUGGUUUUAAGGGCGGUGCAAAGACAAAUGGCAGCUUCAAGAUCAGCCAAACCUUUGACAAGUGAGCAACACUCCUGGCUCGGUGGUGUACCGAUGACCUCAUGAACUAGACCUAACCAGCUGCCACACACUCCAAACUUGACCGUGUCUCUUGGACAUUUCAUGGAUGAUUGUUUUGUGGGAGGAGGGCAUUGCUUAACGGCAUUACAAAAGGAGAAUGUUAAGUUGAGGACUAGCAACAAGACCAGAAGCAAUGGAAAAGCUUUUGAGAUAGCCAUUGCUUUGUUUGCGUAUGAAGUUCUAUAGCUACGGGAUAUCGAAGAAGUAGAAGAAGAUAGGCCUUUUAAUUUGCUUUCUCUGGUGGGGUAUUUAUCAAUUAUCAUCGUGCAUGUGGCUGCAAUCAUUUGUGUUAUCUCUAGUCUGGAAAACGUUUUUUGUCGUAAUAUUGAAACUGAUGGAACAUCCGGCGGCAAAAAUAUGAUUUUUUUUAUGUUCGUAAACGAGCUAAGGAAAUAUAAUCUAAUCUACUAAAACGGAGUACACCAAAUAAAUAAAAUUUUAUUUUCAUGUCAAAUAUUACAAACAUUAUCAGGCAAAAAGUUGGAUUGCCCAACUAUAAUAACAUUCGAACACGAACAAGCAAUCAUUCUGAUAUCUUGUAUACCUUCCUCAAACUAUUUAUGACUUUCCUAUGCUUAUUUAAACGCUUUCUCUUACUCCCUUGGUGUUGAAUAUUACUGGUCAAGCCAGUUUUUUUGUGACCACAUGCCAGUUCCUUAUGCGAGUCAUUACAACGACCCUCAUCAUGGUUAUUCUAGUGAGCACAUCCUCAACAUGACGAAAGAGCAGCGUGGAAGUUUAGAAGAUCGAGAAGUUGAAUACAAAGAUAGACAUGCUGAUGCAGAGAGAUAAAAAAAUAGCUAACUCAUGUCAGGAUGUCGGAGAAAAAAUUCUCUUACAGACUUUUGCAGGGCCUACCAAUCACCAAACUGAGGUGAACUACGUGAACGAUCAAGGGUUUGAGCAGAACAAGUUACAAAAGAAAUUGACGUGAAGAGAAACUCAUUUUCGAUUUAAAAUCAAAAUUUAAUGUUGUUACUACAUUUCACCAAUAUGGAAUCUAUAAUAUUAAAUCACACAUAUUAUUUCUAAAUCUAUUUCGAACAAAUACUACAUUUUGAAAAUAAAAAUAAAUGAUAAAAACUAAAUUUUUAGGAUUGAAACAAAAAAAUAGUGAUAGUUUUAAAAUCAGAUCAAGAAGUGAAAAAACCAAUCUGUCUAUUUUUAAACACGGAUCAAAAUCUAGUUAGAAUCUACAUUAUAAUGAGUCAUUUUCAUCACUCUUGAUGCGACACGCCAGCAGGUAAGUGGGUCCCACUUUUAAAAAGUGUGAAAAUUGUCAAGUCUGUGGCUCGAACCAGGGUUACUGUGAUAUAACACUACAAGAAAACAGCGGCAUACCGAGGGAAAAAAUUGUCGGUAUGUCGUCGGAAUAACGUUAUUCCGACGACAUACCGACGAAACAAGUCCUCGGAAAUAACUCCUCGGAAAUUCAUUUUUUCUCGGAAAUCCCUCGGAAAUUUCCGAAAGAAUUCCGAGGAAAUGCAUUUCCGAGGAAACUCCGAGGACCACCAGUUCGUCGGAAAGGUCCUCGGGAUAUACCGAGGGAGAACUUCCUCAGGAUAUUUCAAUGGACUUUCCGAUGGUCCAAUCCUCGGAAGUUUCGACGAAAUGUUCCUCGGAAUUUUCAUCGGGAAUUUCCGAGGAACGGAGCCCUCAGAAAAUUCCGAGGAAUGAGUCUCUCGGUAUAUUCCGAUGACUUAUUCCGAGGAAAUGUUUGAUAUAAAAAGAUGAUAAAAUAAAAAUCAAGAAAUAAAUGAAUUGAACUUUUAAAAAAAAGAACUUACCGAUUCAACGAUUUCGUUGAUUCGAACCCGGGAAAAGUUGGUCGAAGCCGUCGAAUCGUCAUCCUCGGUUUAAAGCUGAGACACUUCGUCUUGCACCUGAGUUUGGACCAGGGUGACCACUUCCCUCACAAGACGAUCAUCAAUCUGUCUGGUCUUCUUGUUGGUAUACGCCCUCUUCAUUAGGGCGAGAUCAUCAACCGGCUCGCCCUCAUUUUCUUCCGCCUUGAAAAAAAACAUAAAUUAAACAAACAUUAGAAAUUAGAAGAAAUGCACAAAAAAUAAAUUUCAAAACUUAAAUAAUUGAAGAAAAAGCGGCUGAACUUACCAUGCGAUCCCCCAGAGUGGCAAUAGAUUGAGCACCCAAGUUAUGCUUGAAGACGCCCUUCCUUUUACGCUCGCUCCUGCGGUUGGUGGAGUUGGUGGAAGAAGUUUCUUUCGUCUCUUCCUUAUCCCAAUGCGCACACAACUCCGUCCAGACCGUGUUGUUUAUCGACUUUGGGACCUUUUAAUAAAAAAAAAAAGAAAUAGUUUAAUAAAUUAAAAAAUAGUUUAAUAAAUUAAAAAAUUGUUUAAUAAAUUAAAUCGAACCUUAUUGAUUUCCCACUUCUUCUUCCACUCGUGGAUCUGCUUCCCAUAGUUGUCCAUAACUUUAUGGACGAAGUGGUGAUAGAUAAAGAGCGUCUCAUCGGAAUUCCAGUUGAACUCUUGCUGAAAAAAAAACACAAUUAGUAGAAAAUUUAUAUUAAAGAUUAAAAAUAUAAGUAAAAAAUUAGAAUACUUACCGCAAACUGACGAAACCACAGAUGCUGCUUGUCGGUAGGGAAGUCAGUGAAAGUCGGAUGUCCCUUGUCGAGGGCCGAGUACAUCAUACGGUUGAUCCAUGCGCUGAUCCCGUUCCCGGAUCGGUUGAACCUAAUAAAAAGAACAAACGGUUAAUAAUGAAUCCAAAUUUAAAGAAAAAAAAAUGUUUAAUUACCAUGUUUGACCCCGUCCAUGUGGAUACGGAGUGAGAUACGGAAGAUGGUCACGACCGGGCUGUUGAACCAACUCCGCAACACUCAUCACUCCCGGAGGACCCGGAGGAACAGGAGCGGAUGCAGCAGCGGGAGCGAGAGGAGCAUGAGCGGGUGCAGCAGAGGGAGAUGUAUGGUUGGAGCUGUGGGGCGAAGGGGAAUCCUGAAAAUGGCUGGAAUCCCGAGACUGGCUCCCCGUACCACCACGACCACGACGCUGUCGAGGCCGGGUCUGAUCAUCAUGAGACCUGUAAAUUAAAAAAAUAUAUUUAAUAAAUACAGAAAUAUAUAAAUUAAUUUUUUUUAUUAAAAAAAAAUCCCAAAUAAUUUAAUCACAGAAAAAGAUUUAUAUAUAUUAAAUUUUUUUAAUAAAUAUAUAAAAAUAGUUCUAAUAAACAAAAAAUAGUUUUAAUAAAUAAAAAUUGUUUAAUAAUUACAAAAAAAUAGUUUUAAUAAUAUAUAUAUAUGAAAAAUAUUUUUAAAUCCCAAAUAAUAGUAUUUAAUCACAAAAAAAGUUUUAUAGAUAUUUAAAAUGUUUUGUAAAAUCCAAAAAAUCGAAUUUAUAUAGAAAUUUUUUUUUGUAAAAUCCAAAAAAUCGAAUUUAUAUAGAAAAAUCGUUUUGUAAAAUACAAAAAUCGAUUUUAUAUACAAAAAUCGAUUUUAUAAAUACAAAAAAUAAAAAAAUUAUAAAAAAAUUCUAAAUCAAUUCAACAAAACAAAUUAUUCAACCAAAUCACAAUUCUAAACCUAUUAUACAACCAAAUCACAAUCCUAACCAAUCACCCUAACAAAAAUCUAUCAAAACUACACAAAAACCUAACAAAUAGAACCUAAGAGAGUGGGAUAGGGUCCUUACAUGAUUUGUGUAAGAGAAGAGGGAGAUCGCCGGAGAUAUCGUCGGAUUUCAGGGGGAAAUCGCCGGAGAGAAAGAGAGGAGUCGCGCAGAGGAAGAACAGAGAAAUGGGGAAGAAGAAGGGGCUCGUGGUUAUAAAACCUAGGGUCCGACGGACAUUAUCCGUCGGAAUUCCGUCGGAAUUCUAAUUUCAAUUUUCGCGAAAUAUUUGCCCGGUAAAAUGAAAAUAUUCCGAGGAAAUACCGAGGAACUAGUGUUUGGGGUUUCAAAACAUCANNNNNNNNNNNNNNNNNNNNNNNNNNNNNNNNNNNNNNNNNNNNNNNNNNNNNNNNNNNNNNNNNNNNNNNNNNNNNNNNNNNNNNNNNNNNNNNNNNNNNNNNNNNNNNNNNNNNNNNNNNNNNNNNNNNNNNNNNNNNNNNNNNNNNNNNNNNNNNNNNNNNNNNNNNNNNNNNNNNNNNNNNNNNNNNNNNNNNNNNNNNNNNNNNNNNNNNNNNNNNNNNNNNNNNNNNNNNNNNNNNNNNNNNNNNNNNNNNNNNNNNNNNNNNNNNNNNNNNNNNNNNNNNNNNNNNNNNNNNNNNNNNNNNNNNNNNNNNNNNNNNNNNNNNNNNNNNNNNNNNNNNNNNNNNNNNNNNNNNNNNNNNNNNNNNNNNNNNNNNNNNNNNNNNNNNNNNNNNNNNNNNNNNNNNNNNNNNNNNNNNNNNNNNNNNNNNNNNNNNNNNNAUGUCCGUCGAAAUUUCCUCGGAAUGAUUAAAUAUUUCCGUCGGAAUUUCCUCGGAAAUCAUUAAUUCAAUUUUCGCGAAAUAUUUGGCGGCUUGGUUUACCCGGUUAAAUGAAAAUAUUCCGAGGAACCAUGUUUCCUCAGAAUUUCCUCGGAAGUUACCGAGGAAACAGGGUUUGGGGUUUCAAAACAUCGAUUCUUUUUGCCGUAUUUCAUUUCUUAUACAAUUGUAAUGCAUACCAUUGAGGAUUUUUUGUAUAGAUGAUCAUAAACCAUGAAAUAACAAAAUUUCAAAAAUAAUUGUAAGUAUUCCCUUUACCGUUUAUUAAAGUGUAUAAGUGUUUCUCUUAUGUUGUGUGGUUUUCGUUCAUGCAAUCGUAAAAGUGUUUGUUAUUGGGUAAAACACCAAAGUUUGACUUCAUAAUCUGGUUAAGACACUUAAUGAAGGUUAUAUACGUGUUAUUCAAUUCGCAAAACGUUGUUUUCGGUUAAAAACUCCUAGUUCCUCGGAAUUUCCUCGGAAAUUACCGAGGAAACAGGGUUUGGGGUUUCAAAACAUCGAUUUUUUUUUGCCGUAUUUCAUUUCUUAUACAAUUGUAAUGCAUACCAUCGAGGAUUCUUUGUAUAGAUGAUCAUAAACCAUGAAAUAACAAAAUUUCAAAAAUAAUUGUAAGUAUUCCCUUUACCGUUUAUUAAAGUGUAUAAGUGUUUCUCUUAUGUUGUGUGGUUUUCGUUCAUGCAAUCGUAAAAGUGUUUGUUAUUGGGUAAAACACCAAAGAUUGACUUCAUAAUCUGUUUAAGACACUUAAUGAAGGUUAUAUACGUGUUAUUCAAUUCGCAAAACGUUGUUUUCGGUUAAAAACUCCUAGUUCCUCGGAAUUUCCUCGGAAAUUACCGAGGAAACAGGGUUUGGGGUUUCAAAACAUCGAUUCUUUUUGCCGUAUUUCAUUUCUUAUACAAUUGUAAUGCAUACCAUCGAGGAUUCUUUGUAUAGAUGAUCAUAAACCAUGAAAUAACAAAAUUUCAAAAAUAAUUGUAAGUAUUCCCUUUACCGUUUAUUAAAGUGUAUAAGUGUUUCUCUUAUGUUGUGUGGUUUUCGUUCAUGCAAUCGUAAAAGUGUUUGUUAUUGGGUAAAACACCAAAGUUUGACUUCAUAAUCUGGUUAAGACACUUAAUGAAGGUUAUAUACGUGUUAUUCAAUUCGCAAAACGUUGUUUUCGGUUAAAAACUCCUAGUUCCUCGGAAUUUCCUCGGAAAUUACCGAGGAAACAGGGUUUGGGGUUUCAAAACAUCGAUUUUUUUUUGCCGUAUUUCAUUUCUUAUACAAUUGUAAUGCAUACCAUCGAGGAUUCUUUGUAUAGAUGAUCAUAAACCAUGAAAUAACAAAAUUUCAAAAAUAAUUGUAAGUAUUCCCUUUACCGUUUAUUAAAGUGUAUAAGUGUUUCUCUUAUGUUGUGUGGUUUUCGUUCAUGCAAUCGUAAAAGUGUUUGUUAUUGGGUAAAACACCAAAGAUUGACUUCAUAAUCUGUUUAAGACACUUAAUGAAGGUUAUAUACGUGUUAUUUAAUCCGCAAAACGUUGUUUUCAGUUAAAAACCCCUAGUUCCUCGGAAUUUCCUCGGAGAUUACCGAGGAAAUACUGAGGAAAUUACCGAGGAAAUACCGAAGAAACCCUUAUCUUCCGCGGAAUUCCGUCGGAAUAUUCCGAGGAAAUUCCGAGGAAAAAGACUCUAUAAUCAAAUUCCUAAAUCGACAAGGCCUAUUCCGAGGAAAUUCCGAGGAAAACCUAUCUUCCCUCGGGAUUUCCUCGGCAUUUCUAUUAAAAAAAAAAUUCGAUGCUAGUCUGUUUCUGAGUCAUCAUCACCAGAUGAAUCUGAAUCUGGAUCUUGGUGAAACUCUCCAAUCACUGGUUCAUCCUCUACGUGAACGACGGCUUCCUCUCCGAAGUUGGUUAAAUCGACUACAAGGCCAACUCCAGCUAAAUCUUCUGCUGCACUUAAGUUGCCGGAUGUGCUUGGUUGUAGUGGGUCUUCCAGCUUAGAACUUCCCUGAAUUCGGCCUCUCGGGUUGAGUCUUGUAACAGUAACCCAUGGAUCAUCUCUGUUCCUUACCCGGGGGUACUUGAUAUAACAAACCUGUAAUAAUUAAAAAAUUAUUAGUAAAAUUAUAAAUUAAUACACAUGAUGAUGAAUCAUUCUGAAUAAUUAACAUUUAAUUACCUGAUCGGCCUGAGAAGCAAGAAUGAAAGGAUCAUAAUAUUGCAGCUUUCGCCUCGAAUUUACUGAUGUAACACCAAAUGCAUCUGUUCUCACACCUCGAUCUAGAGUGUUGUCGUGCCAAUCACAAUAGAAAACAAUACAGCGCAAUCCAACCAUGCCCAAAUACUUGAUUUCCAAAAUCUCAUGUAUGUGUUCGUAGUAUACAUCAUCUCCUGAUGCAGAACAAACGCCAGCAUCAUAAGUCGUACUCGAACGUCUCCUCUUCUGAGUUGUGAAUGCAUAUCCUCGAGUACAAAAUCUCGGAUAGACUUCACAACAAAGUUUGGUCCAACGACCAUCUCGCGUAUCCAAUCGUAAAAUGUUUCACCUCUGACCAAACCAGCAGACACCUAUUAAUAGCACAUAUAUAUGUUAUAUCAAUAAAUGUGAAUUAGUAUAAAUAUGUGAUAAAUGAUAUUUUAAUUUGUUUAAAGCACUCACAUAAGUAAACAUCCAUCCAGCAAAUUCUCUCUGCUUCAUUUCUUCUAGUUCGUCCUCUAUGGCGUAUCUAUAUUCGAACCGCUUUUCUGCCAUGAAAAUCCUGUACAUAUGAUGACAAUAAUGUAAUUAAUUAAGAUUUAAAUUUCAACUUGUUAAAAUAAAAAUUUGUAAGCUAAUUUAUUUACCUCUCAUAUUGAAGAACAUCUUCCCAGUUGGUGAGCAAAUAUGUUUGCAAAUUACUGCGCUCCUGCUCUGUAAGUCGACGGUCCUUUGGUUUUCCGCUAAGUCGUCCAACGUCUGUGAAAAUGUCUGGAACCGUAACAUGAUAUGUUGCCCGUUCGCCUCUAUCAUCAUGCCGAGCAGGUCUUCUGUUUUUGGUCUGAACUUUUGCUGGAAAGUAGUACUCGGCAAAGAUUAAAGUUUCUUCCUUGAUCAUCUGUGCGACUAUAGAACCUUCCACCCUACUUAAAUUUUUCACCAUCUUCUUCAAAUGGAACAUAUACCGCUCAUACAGAUACAUCCAUCAAUACUGCACAGGACCACCAAGUUCCAAUUCUCUUGCCAGGUGAAUAACAAGAUGCUCCAUAACAUCAAAAAAUGAGGGAGAAAAUAUCUUCUCAAGGUUGCACUGAAUCACGGCUAUGUUAGUCUUCAAAUUUUCAAUACCUUCAAGAGUCACUGAUCUCGUCCAUAAAUCGCGGAAGAAACCACUUAUCCCUACAAUUGCUUCAUGAACAUUUCGUGGUAAUAGUUCCUUGAAGGCAAAUGGAAAGAGGCGCUGCAUCAUUACAUGGCAAUCGUGGCUUUUCAAGCCAGUAAACUUUCCUUCCUUUCUGUCGAUACAGUUACGCAAAUUAGAUGCGUAACCGUCUGGAAAUUCCACAUCGUUUGAAAUCCAAUCAAAGAACGCAUCUUUUCCCUCUGCAUCAAGUCGGUAUAUGGGAAAAGAAGCCCUACCAUUCUCAUCAACAUGAAGUUCUGAACGAGCUCAUAUAUUGACUAAAUCCAGUCUUGACUUCAAAUUAUCCUUUGUUUUACCUUGAACAUUAAGGAUCGUGUUCAUGAGAUUGUCAAAAAAGUUCUUCUCAAUAUGCAUGACAUCUAAAUUAUGCCUUAGCAGAUGAUCCUCCCAGUAUGGAAGAUCACAGAAAAUACUUUUUUUGUGCCAGUUAUGUAGGUCUCCAACAACUUCUACCGGAAAAUGCUCAUGUCCACCGACGUCUGGCUUCCUUUCUGCACCAAAAUCUCUUAGUUGUGUCUUCAAAUCUUUCCCAUAAAUUUCCGGAGGUGGACUGUCAAACACCCUCUUGUUCUUCGUAAACAAAUUCCUACUCCUACGAUAUGGAUGAUCAGGUGGUAAGAAUCUCCUGUGACAGUCAAACCAACACGUUUUCGUUCCGUGUUUUGUUGGAAAGCAUCAGUGUUAUCUUGACAAUAUGGACAUGAUAGCCUUCCAUGCGUUGUCCAUCCAGAUAACAUACCAUAUGCUGGAAAAUCACUUAUUGUCCACAUUAGUACUGCCCGCAUUUGAAAGUUUUCUUUACACGAAACAUCGUAUGUUUCGGCACCUUGAACCCAUAGUUUUUGCAACUCAUAUAUUAGUGGCUGAAGAAACAUAUCAAGUGAUCUCUUAGGAUGCUCUGGUCCGAGAACGAGAAUCGAGAGAAACAAAAACUCUCGUCGCAAGCACAAGUUUGGGGGUAGGUUGUAUGGUGUAAGAAUGACUGGCCAUAGAGAAUACUGUCUUCCACUCUUGCCAAACGGGCUGAAACCAUCAGUACAUAAUCCAAGGUAGACAUUUCUUCUCUCAUACGCAAAGUCGGGAUACUUUGAUUGGAAAUGCUUCCACGCUUUUGCAUCUGAAGGAUGUCUGAUCUCACCAUAUGUUGAGUGCUCCGCAUGUCAUCUCAUUGGUUGCGCUGUGCGUUCAGACAGAUACAACCUCUGCAACCUUUCCGUCAAAGGCAAAUACCACAUCCUUUUAUAUGGCACUGGAACUCUUCCACUCGUAUCUUUAUAAUGAGGCUUCCCACAAAAUUUGCAUGUAACCCGCUGUUCAUCCGCCCUCCAAUAAAUCAUGCAGUUGUCGCUGCAUACAUCUAUUACCUGAUACGAUAAACCAAGACCAGCUACGAGUUUCUGAACCUCGUAGUAUGAACCAGGAGCUACAUUAUCCUCGGGUAGAAUACCUUUUACAAAAUCAUCAAUCGCAUCCACACAGUCUUCAGCCAAAUUAUAAUCUGUUUUAAUGCCCAUCAAUCUUGUAGCAGAUGAUAAAGCUGAAUGACCAUCUCUGCAACCUUCGUACAAUGGUUGCUUUCCAGCAUCCAACAUAUCAUAAAAUCUCCUAGCUUCUGCAUUGGGUAAAUCUUCCCCUCUAAAAUGAUCAUUUACCAUCUGCUCAGUACCUACACCAUAAUCUACAUCCGUUCUAAUUCGUUCUUCUAAUCUAACCGCUGGCUGAGGUUCGCUAGUACUACCAUGUUCAUAAUCAGUUUCCCCAUGAUGAUACCAAAUUUUGUAACUUCGUGUAAACCCACUCAAAUAUAGAUGAGUCCAAACAUCCUACUCUUUAAUAACCUUUCUAUUUUUACAAUUAGAGCAAGGACAUCUUAACAUACAUGUUUUUGCUUCCGGUUGUCGGUGAACUAACCCCAUGAAUUCGGUUAUACCUCGUUGGUAUUCUUCCGUAAGCAAUCUCGUGUUCGGAUCCAAAAGAGGUCGAUCGAUCCAAGAACGAAAAUAAUUUGAAGAAGACAUGUUUUUUAUGAAUCAAAUUCGUGUGUAAAGAGAGUAAGAGGGAGGAUGAAGAUAUGGAGUGAAUGAAGAGGAAGAGGGGUGCUUGUAUUUAUAGUUGAAAUCCUGCCGACAGACCGAGGAAAUUCCGACGGAAUUCCAACGCCAACGGCUUGUUCGUCGGAAUUUCCUCGGAAUUUUUAAAAUCCCCCAACGGCUCUCAAACGGCUCUCUAACGGCUAUAAUAUAUCUUCGGAAUUCAUCGGUUUUUUCCGAGGAAUACAUUUUUCUUCGGUAUUCCAUAAGAAUAUUCCGACGGAUUGAUAUUUCCUCAGAAUUCCGUCGGUAUAUUCCGAGGAAAUUCCGAGGAAACCAAAUUUUGUGUUUCCUCGGAAUAUCCUCGGAAAUUCCUCGGGAUAUUCCGAGGAUUUCAUUUUCCGUCGGAAUGUCCGUCAGAAUACCGCUGUUUUCUUGUAGUGUAAACACCAAAAUUUAUACCACUAAACUAAAGGAUACUUUGUACAUUGAUUACCGAAACUAAUAUAUAUUUAUGAAUGAUUUCUUAUAGUGGAUCCCUUAUAUAACUGUAAUGUUUCAAUACUCACGUGUAACUUUGAUCAUCGAAACCUAUUUAGUAAAAUCCGCAUUCUGGCCCAAUAAAACUUAUAAGUGGGCUAAAUCUCUUUUGUAUGUAUCUAGGAUUUUUAUAGUACUAUGUCUCCACCGAUAAACCGAAGCGUUACCCUUUUAGCUUAUCAAAACAAAUUCUGAAAAUUUUCAUCUUCACCUCUCUAUAUCCCCAACGAUCAGUUAUGGUACCGUUUCACCUCUGAAACGAUCCAUCUCAGUAUAUAUAAUUCCUCAAACAAACCUUGAGACCCAUAUCUCUUAUUAAAUUACUCCUAAAUUGAACUGUCGCAGCUUUUAGCCAACAUUCGAAGAUGUCAACCUCCAGUGUUGUUGUUGCUUAAUCGGUCGUUGUCCCCACCACCUUUCUCCGCCUAAAACAUAGUACCCAAGAAAAGGUAUUGACAAUUUGACUUUCUAUGGAAUACUAUAUACCAUAUUUGUUUAAUCAAUAUUCAAGCUAUCAGUUUUAAUACUUUAAGCGUAUGUUUCUCUGGGCAGAAUUCCGAGAUCCACGGUUCUAUCCCAAUUCGUGUGAAUCACUACCAUCCAUCGCUACGAUUGGGGGUCGAUCGUGAAAGUUGAUUGAUCGCUUUGAAGUUGUCCGAUUAACUAAUAUGAUGUAACUCUGUUCUGAUGGGCUAUAACGGAAAGUUAUUUGGUUGCUAGGACUAACAGAGGCUGCAAGGCUGGGUACGUCUCAGGCGGAGCUGAAGGACGGUACAACUAGAGCGCCUAUUGUCUGGUUUUUGUCGUGCCAACGUGCUAUGGAACUAGAGACUUCCUAGGAGAAUCCAGAUUACUUCGAAACAUCGGCUGUCAUUUUCAACAGGUACCACCAAGAUGUAAAUUUUUUUAUGUUUGUGGUGUGGUUCGACUCAAGAUUGAAACUUUUGCUGAUGAAAUAAUGAUUUUGUGGAUGCAUGUCAAUUAGAUUUACGAGGCUACAAAAUGUUCACUGUACAUUGGCAGGGAAAAAAUGGCUAUGUAUGGUUCAGUUGUAACACUAGUGUGGUGCGAUGGGGAUGGACAUGGUAACCAAAGGUGUGCAUAAUGUUAUUGAGUUCCUCAGCGAUGAUUCCCCUGACAUGGAUGUGAUCGGAAUCUCUGGUGAGUUCCUUUUGUAUGUUAUUGGUUUGAUUUUAAAACAAUGCCUUUUAGCUUAGUGUCAUCUUGAGACUUAAAAACUUGAAAUUUAUUGGUCAGAUAACUUCUUCUCCGACAUUAACAAACCUGCUGCGGUGAACUGCAUCGAGGGACAUGACAGUAAUUAGAAGAGAGAUAGGGAACAAGGUGUUGAAAACGAGUGUGUCUGGCUUGGUGGAGCUCAAUAUACUCAAGAACCUCACCGUCUAUGUUGUUGCAGGCUCUCUAGGUCGAUUCAAAUCUCAUGCCAGCAACAUAGUGUUUGAUGUAUUCAUAGCUACUUGCCAAGAUCCAGCCCAAAACAUGGAGAGCUCUCAAAUUGAUGGAAGCCAUUAAUAGCAAUCACCGUACCUUCACUAUCUCCACCAUCACUGAAGAUACCAUCAUAGAGAACCAUGGCAAGGUUGUCUAAUUUUACUUGUCAUCACGUUCAUGUAUUUCAGGAGCACAGUGAGAACAUUCUUCCAAGCAGUGAAGGUGACGUAGGAUUGGCAGCAUCAUCGGGCCCGUCUGUUUUGGGAGACAAGGUCGAUGAGGAAUGUGCUGCAGCAGAUCCUCCAGAGAUUUCAGACGCUCAGAACAACCGCAAGCGCUGCCGUGAGUGAUUGGAAAUAUCUAUUAUAUUCCUAUCAGCCCGUCAACGUCUUUUCUAUGCAUUUUUAAAAACUGCUAUUAUCUUUGUUUUCCAUCAUAAACUUUGGAUAUUUUUUUCCUUGCAUGUUUUCUCUGUUCGGAGAUUUUAUUUCUAUUUUGGAUUAUUAAUGAAACGUCAACGGGUUCUAACUCAUACAAGAUUUGUUAGUUGUGUAUUUUUUUGGUUUACCUAUUUCUGACAUUUUUUUUGUCCACCAUAAACUAUUUUUAACAAAGUCGAGUAAAACUCUAAAAAUAAAUAAUUUUGCAACCAUAUAAUUUUAUAAAUUUUUCUAGAGUUAUUAAUUUUUUAUAAAAAAUAGUUUAUUGCAAUUCUAUAUUUUUGAAAUUAAUUUAGGUAAAAUAAGAAAAUAAUGUAAUUUAUUGCUCGAUAAAUUGUUUAAUUUUUUGAAUUCAAAUUUUAUAUUUUGUUCCUUACACUAUUUGUUUUAUAUACUAACAACUACCUAAGUAAAUACUAAAUAACUUCAUAAACUUUAUCUUUUGA
rnacentral:lncRNA from 1 species